rnacentral:lncRNA from 1 species
GCUUCCCCCAAACCCCUAACCCCAGUCUACCCACAGGAAAGACAUCAGAAAGGCCAAGAUUUUGAGACAUUCUCUGAAACAUGUCAUGGAAGACAAGAGAAGAUUGAGAAACCAUCAUAGAACAGAGUGGACUAAGGAGAUAUGAUGACUAAAAGAUUGCUGCUCCUGAGUUCAUCUCCCCCUCCAGAGAAAGCUGCCCUCAAUGCUAGCUCAGAGGAAAAGGCUUCUGCUGCACUUAGGAUUCAACAACAUCUCUUCCUCUUCAGGUCUCUCCUGCUGCGAGCAAACUAAGACGUUUACUGACCAAAAUUCAACGCGUAGAAGCUAAGCUCAUGGGAUCCGACAAGCCGUGUGACCUUGGGCCAGUUACUCUUGGCACCUCUAUUUCUUCCUCUGGAAAAAGAAAUGAUUGUAAUAGUGCCUACUUCGCUGUGUUGCUCCGAUCAGUAUAAACUGAAUUAAACCACGUGAAGCGGUCAGAUUCGGUCCACAUACGGUUCGUGCUCAGUAAGGGUUAGCUGUGGUUAUGGUAAUGCAUGUCCCUUAGUUCACCAGUGAGGAAUUUUCAGAUCUCACGGCUGGCUAUGGGUUGAAUUGGGCCCCCCCCCCAAAUUCAUAUGUGGGAGUCCUAACCCCCGGUAUCUCAAAAUGUGACUGUAUUUGCAGAAAGAGGUAAUUAAGGUAAAGUGAGGUCAUGUGGACAGGCCCUAAUUCAGUGUGACGGGUGUCCUGAAGAGAAGAGGAGGUCGUCAGGACACACACACACACACACACACACACACACACACACACACACGGAGGAAAGGCCACGUGAAGAAGACAGAGGGAGAAGACGGCCAUCUACAAGCCAAGGAGAAAGGCCUUCAGAAGAAACCAACACUGCCAACAUCAUGAUCUUGGACUUCCAGCUUUCAGAAA